rnacentral:rRNA from 1 species
GAGGAAUAUUGGUCAAUGGGCGCGAGCCUGAACCAGCCAAGUAGCGUGAAGGAUGAAGGUCCUAUGGAUUGUAAACUUCUUUUAUAGCAGAAUAAAGUGACCCACGUGUGGGUUUUUGUAUGUAUGCUAUGAAUAAGGAUCGGCUAACUCCGUGCCAGCAGCCGCGGUAAUACGGAGGAUCCGAGCGUUAUCCGGAUUUAUUGGGUUUAAAGGGUGCGUAGGCGGAAAGAUAAGUCAGCCUGUGAAAGUUGGCGGCUCAACCGUAAAAUUGCAGUUGAUACUGUUUUUCUUGAGUGUACAUAAGNUAGGCGGAAUUCGUGGUGUAGCGGUGAAAUGCUUAGAUAUCACGAAGAACUCCGAUUGCGAAGGCAGCUUACCGGUGUACAACUGACGCUGAUGCACGAAAGUGUGGGUAUCAAACA